UUUCUACUCGCUGGCUUAGAACGACACCAUCUGGCUAAAACACCAAGCCGGUUUAAUCACAAACACUGAUUCAUUCAAUCUCAGCCUCAGCAGUUUCCUACGGCAAGCAAGGAAUAAACCUGGUAACUGCUACCUGGAUGAUCUCCAGGGAGAUAGAUCCUCAGGUGCAGGUUAUCAACACAUCUUUGUCUCAUAUCAGAAGGGAGAAGAAGAUGGGCAAGUGCUGAGGCCCAGAAAAUGCCUAUCAGACAACUUCUCUGGGGAGUCCCAUGGCAGGAAAUCUUCACACUGCAGGUACAGAGGAGGAGUGUUAGCACUGCUGUGGACAGAAUGAGCCAGAUGGGAAAUGCAGCACCACCAUGUUACACCAUGGUUAAGUGGAGAAUGGAGCAUCCGCAAUGCCAGGGAUGUUCUAAACAACUUCUGAAAGUUGAACACUGUGCCCUUGUUGAAAGCCAUCAAACUCCAUCCAGAGAGUUUCAUCUCUCACAAUCUAUGGCAUCACUUCAAGACCUUCCAUAAAUCAACUUCAACACA